UACGUAGGGGGCUAGCGUUGUCCGGAUUUAUUGGGCGUAAAGCGCACGUAGGUGGGCUUGUAAGUCGGAUGUGAAAUCCCCGGGCUUAACCUGGGAACUGCAUCCGAAACUACAAGUCUUGAAUGCUUCAGAGGUUGGUAGAAUUCCUGGUGUAGCGGUGAAAUGCGCAGAUAUCAGGAGGAACACCGGUGGCGAAGGCGGGUCUCUGGGCCGAUACUGACGCUGAGGCGCGACAGCGUGGGGAGCAAACAGG
rnacentral:rRNA from 1 species